GAAGGUUAUGCAUAUCCAGGACACUGGUGGAUGAACCGUUGAAAUCCUUUUAGAAUCAGGAAAUUUUGCAAUUAUAUAUAUUUUUCUAUUUAUCCUGUGAAUGCUGAGGAAAGACCAGGAUUUGGGCUACGUAUUUGAACAAUGGUCCAGUCUCUUUGGUUGGAUGAAUAAUGGUGGAAAAACCUUUUCCUAAUGCUUGAGUAUCCUGAUGAGAGGUGUGACAGGUUACUUGGUCUCAGAGGGUCUCUGUCUCGCAGCUGAUACGGCUGAAUCCUAAUUCUAGAAGUUGUGUCUACAAUUUCUAUGAUUGGAAUAUAGAGGUUAUCAUCUUUAAUGGAGAACUGAGGAGAGAAGUCCACUUUGCAGAGUGCUUGGAGAAUUGCCCUGAAAGCACAUCAAGUACUGGCUAGAUUUGAUGUUUCCAGAGGGACGUGUCCUGGUUCUCAUCCCAAGCCCCACAGGCACACAGAAAACUCAGAAUGACGUGAUGACACCACAGUGCAUGGAGCCCUAUUGAGGGUGUCUGUCCAUUGGAAUAGGCCAUGGCUCAACAAGACUGAUCAGGUGACACAACUAAUGCAGCCUCCUGUUUCAGAAACCCUUUCUCCACCCAAAGGCUACGACCAAACUCAUCUUCUGAGUUGCCCAGUUUUUCUUAGCAGAUUCCAUGUGUACACCCCUGCUGUCUAAUGCUUUGAAGGAA